rnacentral:rRNA from 1 species
GACGAACGCUGGCGGCGCGCCUAACACAUGCAAGUCGAACGGAGCUGAGAGGAGCUUGCUUUUCUUAGCUUAGUGGCGAACGGGUGGGUAACGCGUGAGUAACCUGCCCUGGAGUGGGGGACAACAGUUGGAAACGACUGCUAAUACCGCAUAAGCCCACGGCCCGGCAUCGGGCUGAGGGAACAGGAUUUAUUCGCUUCAGGAUGGACUCGCGUCCAAUUAGCUAGUUGGUGAGGUAACGGCCCACCAAGGCGACGAUUGGUAGCCGGACUGAGAGGUUGAACGGCCACAUUGGGACUGAGACACGGCCCAGACUCCUACGGGAGGCAGCAGUGGGGGAUAUUGCACAAUGGGGGAAACCCUGAUGCAGCGACGCCGCGUGGAGGAAGAAGGUUUUCGGAUUGUAAACUCCUGUCGUUAGGGACGAUAAUGACGGUACCUAACAAGAAAGCACCGGCUAACUACGUGCCAGCCGCCGCCUAA